CACCGCCGCCGACCCGGGCCCUGUUUGAUUAUGUCUGCUGCUGCCUUGGCCGUUUUUUCCCCCACCGCUGGACUUUGGCUGGCCGAGCUUGCAGUGCUUAUCGCCCUAGAAACCUGUGAAAGGGCGACAUUGCUGCCAUUUCAGACCCUUCCACUGUUCGUAGUUCUAAGCACGUGUCAGUGUUAAAAAUCCUUUAUCAAGAUGAGCACUGUUCACUUGCCGCCUCUGCAAAGUGUGAGGAUAUUUGCAAGGCGCGGUGGCUCACGCCUGUAAUCCCAGCACUUUGGGAGGCCGAGGCGGGCGGAUCAUAAGGUCAGGAGAUCGAGACCAUCCUGGCUAAUAACGGUGAAA
rnacentral:lncRNA from 10 species